rnacentral:lncRNA from 1 species
CUGCCUCAUCUCAUAUUUGAUCAUGUAUCUUUCUUCCUAGAAUCCCCCUGCUGUGUCUUCCUGCCUCUUUUCUGGCACCGCUCUCCUGGUGUUGGCACUCGGUGAGGACAUAGUUAGAAUUGUAAACAUGGCCACAGAUUGGAUAUGGGAGUCAAAUGCGAAGAGGAGGUCAUAUUCACUCCAAGCUCUACCCCAGAUUCCCUAUCGCUUCUUUCAGACACCAAGCAGAAGUCCAGAGGGGAGAAUUACUGGGAGAAAGGACUAGCUAUGC